rnacentral:rRNA from 1 species
GAUGAACGCUAGCGGCAGGCCUAACACAUGCAAGUCGAGGGGUAGAGGAAGCUUGCUUCCUUGAGACCGGCGCACGGGUGCAUAACGCGUAUGCAAUCUACCUUGUACAGCGGGAUAGCCCAGAGAAAUUUGGAUUAAUACCUCAUAGUAUUAUUGAAUGGCAUCAUUUAAUAAUUAAAGUUCCAACGGUACAAGAUGAGCAUGCGUCCUAUUAGCUAGUUGGUGUGGUAACGGCAUACCAAGGCUACGAUAGGUAGGGGUCCUGAGAGGGAGAUCCCCCACACUGGUACUGAGGCACGGACCAGACUCCUACGGGAGGCAGCAGUGAGGAAUAUUGGACAAUGGGCGCAAGCCUGAUCCAGCCAUGCCGCGUGCAGGAAGACGCAUCUAUGGUGUGUAAACUGCUUUUGUACGGGAAGAAACACUCCCUCGUGAGGGAGCUUGACGGUACCGUAAGAAUAAGGAUCGGCUAACUCCGUGCCAGCAGCCGCGGUAAAAC